rnacentral:rRNA from 1 species
GAUGAACGCUGGCGGCGUGCUUAACACAUGCAAGUCGAACGAAGCAUUUAGAACAGAUUACUUCGGUUUGAAGUUCUUUAUGACUGAGUGGCGGACGGGUGAGUAACGCGUGGGUAACCUGCCUUGUACUGGGGGAUAGCAGCUGGAAACGGCUGGUAAUACCGCAUAAGCGCACAAUGUUGCAUGACAUGGUGUGAAAAACUCCGGUGGUAUAAGAUGGACCCGCGUCUGAUUAGCUAGUUGGUGAGAUAACAGCCCACCAAGGCGACGAUCAGUAGCCGACCUGAGAGGGUGACCGGCCACAUUGGGACUGAGACACGGCCCAGACUCCUACGGGAGGCAGCAGUGGGGAAUAUUGCACAAUGGAGGAAACUCUGAUGCAGCGACGCCGCGUGAGUGAAGAAGUAAUGCGUUAUGUAAAGCUCUAUCAGCAGGGAAGAUAGUGACGGUACCUGACUAAGAAGCUCCGGCUAAAUACGUG